GGGAAGUCUUUUAAAUUCAAAAAUACAAGAAAUGAUAAAGAUCCUAUUGUUAUCAUCGCUUUACUACACUACUGAUCUUAAAGACUACAACAGGGUUUUGUCCCAAUAUAUGGAUUUAAUAACAGUGAAGAUUCUAAAGAUCUCCGUUGGUAAUAAUUGCCCUUUACAAUCAAAAUUAGCAUCCACCAUUUCUGAAAACCUUAGCCUUGAAAGUUCAGAGAAUAAUUAUACAUCUACAAGUUGAACAAAUAAUUGCAGACUUCCCCUUAAACGGGCAGCACGAACCCAGUUCACGAUAUGAGAUACAGUGCAUCGGUAUUUUCCUGGAAAAUGACAUAUAGCCAUCACAUUUUCUCAUCUUGGAAAAUAUUCAGGCUUGACUAAUAGCGCAAAUUAUACAUAGACCAAAAAGGAAGUAAAUUAGAGCAGUGAGCUACACAAUAUUACACGACCAGAUUGAAGAAUACAAUGGGCUUCACUUCCUGACAAAAUUGAAAGAUUUGAUCUGGAAACUGGUUUGUUCAGGAACCAUCAUGUGAUAGAUCUUGCAUUAGUAGUGCUAUAACUCCUCCACUUGGACUGAAAAUCCACAAUGACACCGCUUCGUCCUCACUGAACUCUCCUCAUCAAAACUCUGAUCUUCUGCCAAAAAUACAUGCUCAUGAUCUUCUGUUUGAACUACUGGAGGAGCUCCUGAUUCAGGAUUCUGCUUGUCUUCUUUCUGGCAUCCCCUGGGAUGCUUAUGAGGUUGACUACUGUCAUGUACAUCUGAUUUGUAAUUUGUAUCUUUGAUGUUGCCUGACAUUUGUAACGAACUGUUCCCAUAACAGUUUUUUAACCUUUGUCGAGUUACGAUGGACGAAAGAAGUUGAUACCACCUAGAAAUAGCUUGUGCUUCGUGUAUUUUCUUUUCUUCAGUUUCUCUUCUUUCUUCUUCUUCAGCAUAAGCCUCUAAUAUGGCAUCCUUGAACUCAGCACACACCACAAUUCCCUCAAAGACAGGAACAGAUCGACCACUUUUGAAUUCAAAACCAACCAUGGCAGGUGCAUAGUCAACUUCCAGUCUCUUGGCAACACGAAAUACCCUUGGAAGUCGCAAGUGCACUGUCCCAGGUGGCAGGCAUUUCUCAGACCACACUUCAACUUGACCACGCUCAUUCUUUGGCACAAUCCCAUUUACAGCAUGUGGCAGCUGCAAGGGUUCUAGUUGCCACUUCCCAUAAAGUUCAAUAGUGCCUCUAGAAUCAGCGUCAUCAUAAUCAUCAUCUUCUGAAAGUUUUACUUUCUUAAGCUUUCCAGAUUGUUUCAACACCUUUAGGAAAUAAGCUAUUUCUAUAAAUUAAAUACAACAGAGAACUCAACUAACCAGUAAAAACAAUAAAUUAUUUCAAAAAAAUUAAAUAGUAAAACAAUAAAUCUAAACCACAAAUGCAAUAUUAUCCAGACUGAACCUUUGCUGGAAGCUCGCUGGAUUUAACCUGCAGCCCUUCACGCAACCAUCUUUCUUUUGUUUUGAGUGUUUGCACACAAGCACGAGGGUAAACUGGAUGUCCAGAACAAAAACCCAGAAUGGGACCUCUGGGAUGAAGUAUCUGACACUUUGCAAGCCAUCUUUCAAUAGCAUAAAGCUGAUGACUUUUAUAGGCCUGCUGAUUAGUGGGCAGAGGCUCAGUUAGUGCCCUAGUUUCCAAUUCCACAUCCUCAAGAGAGUUUCUAGUAGCAACAGAAGAAUUCCUCUCAGAAGAUUCUAUAUCAAUUUUCUUCUUCUCAGCUACUUCAGGCCCUUCUUCAGUUGCUCCAGACUCUAACUCCCUCAAUGGGGCCAACACUGCAUCCCACCAAACAGAGUUAAUUCGUUGUGGUGCUAUCUUGUACCACUUCAUACAGUACCUGCGGGUUACAUCUUUGGCACCAUGCCCGGCAAAAGCAACCACGUAUCUCAAAGAUGUUUUACAUGCAGCAGCUGCUGCUUCAACCUUCUGUUCUCCAUCUACAAUAGCAUUUACAGCAUCUACAUGCACCCACUUUCCUGUCAAAUUCUCUCCGCUGCAGUAUAUUUCUGCCCAAUGCAGAGGAGAUCCUGUUUUUUGUGAUCCAACUGCAGUUGAGAUUCCAUGGGAGGGAGAUUCUUCACUUGUGAUUAUUUUAAUUCUUUUAAAUGGAGAAGAAAUAUUUGAUGAAUCGCUAGUUGAGCUUCUCACAUCUGAUCUCAUGCUACUUUGAGUACUUGCAAUUCCUGUCGUGAACAUGGCCAUUUGCAUCUGCAUUUCAAACUCAAGAUCACCCUUCCUCUUUGAACCCUGGCAUUUUGGGCUAACACAUGAUUCAGAGACCUUAUCUUGAGCCUCACAUAAAAAUGAAUCUGUUGUUCGAUUUUCCACUUCAACUGUAUCAGGAGGAUCUUUAGAAUGAGUUUUGUUGCUCCUUGGGCAGCUAUCUUUACUUUUACAAGGAAGCUUUGAAGAAGUUUCACACAUAUUGUUUUUCUCAUUGCAUGAGAAUGAUUUAACAGGAGAAAUGAAAACCUCUUUUGUUCUAUCUACCAUCAAUGUUGAAUUAUUGAAUAUCCCUCUGUGCAUUCUGCUAUUAUCUUGACUUGAGGAUUCAAAUCUGUCAGCAUUGGGUUUUAUGGAGGCAACAUCUAGAAUGGACACAAACCGGGUGGUAAACUUCAAAGCUCUGAAUAGUGCCACAAACAAUGCAGUAAUCUCUUCUGGAUUUCCUUCACGAGUUUCAAGUGCAAAGGCCAAAGCUUUCUGAAAUGAUCUCUUCUCACUGACACAGCUUCUAACAUGAAAGUUAUUAUGAAACCAACUAACAAGGGGAGACAAAGCAUUAGCACUAAGUUUUGGGACCCCUGAUGUCUUCAACAAGUGUGAUGGUAGGAGAGAGAGUAAAGAGGCCUGAAUAAGAGGAUCAUCACAAGCACUGUCAAUUAUUCUGCCCCUAGCAAGUAAACAAAGCAAGUGAACCUUAUGCACAAGCUCUGCCAAUUCCUUUUCUUCAGAAGUAGCUCGACGAACAGGCUUCCGCUUAGCAGAAUCAAGAGACUCACUAAAUUCAACAGUCACCGUCGUAGUGCCAUCAUCACCCAGAUGAUGAUUGCUUACAGAAUCCAGAAUCGAAUAAGACCCAUCUUCCCAAUCUAUAUCAUCUGUUUCGUCAUCGUUGUUCCUCAGAGAAUCCUUGAACUUUCCCCCAUCCAAUUCAUUCCAUGUAAUCCUUGCAUCCACAACCACUUGUUUGCCAUUUCCUUUUGUCCCUGAUGAUCCACGCCCAUUGACACGUCUUGCAACUUUGUCCACUGACUCCCUGGAAAAAUCAGCCAGACUUUCUUUCCCGGCAGCCAUUGUAAUUUCCUUCCCUAAGUUCUCUUCAUUCGCUUUGGAUUGUUUAUUGGCUCUGGUACGCAUUUUCGCAGAGAUGAAAGGGGCGCGCG
rnacentral:misc_RNA from 1 species